rnacentral:rRNA from 1 species
CCUACGGGAGGCUGCAGUAGGGAAUAUUGCUCAAUGGGGGAAACCCUGAAGCAGCAACGCCGCGUGGAGGAUGAAGGUGUUCGGAGUGUAAACUCCUGUUGUUAGAGAAGAGAAUGACGGUAGCUAACGAAUAAGAACCGGCGAACGCCGUGCCAGCAGCCGCGGGAAUACGGAGGGUGCAAGCGUUACUCGGAAUCACUGGGCGGAAAGAGCGCGUAGGCGGGCUAGCAAGUCAGAUGUGAAAUCCUAGGGCUUAACCCUAGAACUGCCUUUGAAACUGUUAUUCUAGAGUAUGGGAGAGGUAGUUGGCAUUCUUGGUGUCGUGGUCACAUCCG